CGACGCCCGUGACUGUAUCUGGACGCCGCGCCAGCAGCAGCUGGUGUGACGAUGAAUGUGUGACUCCACGGGGACACAGCAGACCGUCCAGCCUGGCUGAGGAAGCUUCACUCUCACCUGUACGACAAGAGAAAAGCUGGACACGCUGCAAAGUUAAAGCUUUCUGAGCCCAUCUGAGAGCCUGAAGUCUGGAGCCAGGCCCCGAGGCAGGACCCAAGAAAGCCUGGAGAAAACAGGCCGUUCAUCGGAUCAAGCAGACACGGUGUCUCCAAGACCGCAGGGAGCAUCCGGUUAGAGGGGAC
rnacentral:lncRNA from 1 species